rnacentral:rRNA from 1 species
SCGGAUACGAGAGAUCGUAUCCUUCAGUUCGGCUGGAUCGGAGACAGGUGCUGCAUGGCUGUCGUCAGCUCGUGUCGUGAGAUGUUGGGUUAAGUCCCGCAACGAGCGCAACCCUCGCCCUUAGUUGCCAGCAUUCAGUUGGGCACUCUAAGGGGACUGCCGGUGAUAAGCCGAGAGGAAGGUGGGGAUGACGUCAAGUCCUCAUGGCCCUUACGGGCUGGGCUACACACGUGCUACAAUGGUGGUGACAGUGGGCAGCGAGACCGCGAGGUCGAGCUAAUCUCCAAAAGCCAUCUCAGUUCGGAUUGCACUCUGCAACUCGAGUGCAUGAAGUUGGAAUCGCUAGUAAUCGCAGAUCAGC